UGCUUAAUUGCGUUUCAAAAUUUAACCUGAGGACCGGGUUUUGGUUUGGCUAGUGGUCCUACGAUGACUGUGAACUGUCAUGUCUUCGGAUGUACGACUAUCGGUCUAGGAUCACAUGACUUGCCCCUGGGACUCUUUUGAACGCAACGGACGUGAUUGCAACCCCUUGUUGAGAUUAGAGAUAGUCUCGAUAUUCACUGGCCAAACUGGCUGCUUUAUGCAGUCUUGUUGAAUGGUGGAUAAACUCGGGGGACUGCUGACUAUAACCAUUUCUCAAAACAGAGGAAGGUUGCGGCAAUAACAGGUCUGUGAUGCCCUCAGAUGUCCCGGGCUGCACACGUGCUACAAUGAGUGGCGCAAUGUGCUAAUGUUUUAAGGGAUAAGCGUGCGGCCAGUAGAACGUCGGGAAAUUCCCCUGGCGUCGCCUGCGCACGAUUAUCAGCCUUCCCUUAACAGGGCGGGCAACCUUUUCAAAAUACCGGUUUGAUAUUAAAGUAUAGAGUCGUUUUUUUUGGAUGGUGGUUUACGAACCAAUACCAUCCGCAACUGCUCGCGAGUUUGUGGUUCUGGUGACUCAUGGUGGGGACCGAUGUUUGUAAUUGUUUGUCGCGUGUCAACUAGGAAUGCCUUGUACUGUCGAUUCACUAAGUUAUUGGGAAUACGUCCCUGCCCUUUGUACACACCGCCCGUCGCUCUUACC
rnacentral:rRNA from 1 species